rnacentral:rRNA from 1 species
CAGCAGCCGCGGUAAUACGUAGGGUGCAAGCGUUAAUCGGAGUUACUGGGCGUAAAGCGUGCGCAGGCGGUUCUAUAAGACAGAUGUGAAAUCCCCGGGCUCAACCUGGGAACUGCAUUUGUGACUGUAGAGCUGGAGUGCGGCAGAGGGGGAUGGAAUUCCGCGUGUAGCAGUGAAAAGCGUAGAUAUGCGGAGGAACACCGAUGGCGAAGGCAAUCCCCUGGGCCUGCACUGACGCUCAUGCACGAAAGCGUGGGGAGCAAACAGGAUUAGAUACCCCCGUAGUCCCUGUCUCUUAUAC